rnacentral:lncRNA from 1 species
AUAUUAAUAAUAUAUUGAGAAAUAUAAUGUUUUUUUUUAGAGAUAGGUAGCACGUUGAUUCGUUUCUUUUAUUUCAUUUAGAAAUAAAUUUAGCUAGAAAUGUGAAUCAGGUAGGAUUCGAUCUUGAGAUCUCGAGUACCAACCACUAAAUCAUUUGCUACUUGCUUUAGGAACAGUUUGUGAGAAAUAUACUAUGAGGAAAGGACGGAGGAAGAGUAGCUUUCAUAGAUGAGUUGUAUGAUGCAUCUAGCCGCACUUUUCAAGGUAAAAAAUAUGUGGUUUCAUUGAUGAGUUGUAUGAUGCAUGUAUCUUGCCUCACUUUUCGAGGUAAAAAAUAGGAAAAACUUUAAAAACACCCCCGUGGUUUCGUAGUUUCUCACUUUGUCUUCCUGUGGUUUAAAAUGUUUCAAUUUGCUCCCCUAUGGUUUGGUUUUUAUCUUUUCGGUAGCUUUUUCGUUAAUAUUUUAUUAAAUUAUAUACGAAAAACUUCAGAUACUCAUCUAGAUUUAUCAAAUAUUCACUUUAGUACCCUUUAAUUUUAACUUUAUCACUAAUUUAAGAAAAAAAAAUUAAUGAAAUUGAUAAGAAAAAGAGAAAAAAGAAACCAUAGGGGGAAAAAUUGAUAUAUUUUAAACUACAGGGGGUCAAAGUAAGAAACUACGAAAUCACAGGAGGUUUUUUUGAAGUUUUUCCUAAAAAAUAUGUGGUUUGUUAUGAUCUUAUUAUUG